AUGUUCUCCACAUCUGUACUGCUGCUGCUGCUGGCUGCUGUGACCUGGGUCCAUUCCUAUGAGCUCACCCAGCCUGAUUUCCUGACGGUUCAUCCAGAUCAAACUCUGACCAUCAAUUGUAAAGUUUCUUACUCAAUCACCAGCGAUGCCACAGCUUGGAUUCGGCAGCCUGCAGGAAAAGCUCCGGAGUGGGUUGCAACUAUGGGCUACAAAGGAGGCUUAUACUUCAAAGAUUCACUUAAAAACAAGUUCAGUUUGUCCAGAGACACGUCCAGCAACACAGUGACCUUAAGAGGGCAGAAUCUGCAGACUGGAGACACAGCUGUGUAUUACUGCGCUCGUGAACCACAGUGA